ensembl:lncRNA
UUUCUAAAGAUAUCACGAUAUAUCGAUAUUGUGAAUUCUUAUGGCCACAAUAACCGUGAUAUGAAAAAUCUAAUAUUGUGACAGCCCUACUUGUACCUUAAAGGUGCUGUAUGUAGGAUUGUCACUGAGUGGUUGAACUAGGUAUUGCAGUCCAAAUUCAAAAUAUUGGAGAGGGUUUUUUCACCCGGCCCCUCCUCAUCAGACUUAACACACAUGCAGGUUGCCAGAUUGACGACACCAACAAGAAAGAGCGCACUUGACGAUGAAUGAAAUUAAAUAUGCUGUGUUUUCCGCCAACUCGCAACCCGGGGUGUCGAAAUACAAUUGGGUAAACUGGAAGUGGGCGGGUUUCAGAAACCUAAACAAAUACAGACUUUCCACCCGGAACGCACAUUUUCAAAGGAGAAUAACUGACUCUAGCAUUGUUUUGGUGUUUUUGGUAUUUUUAUGCUUUAGUAGAGGUACAAAUGCAAAAAGGUACAUAUUUUUAACUUAUUUACCCCUAAAUGAUACAUUGAAGUAAAAUACAUAUUACAUACAUAUAAUUACGUACAUAACUGUAAAAUGUUAUGCUCUUAUUACAGGAAAAUCCAUAUUUCCAUGAUUUGCCCUCUUGUAAGUGAUCAGGGUCCCUAAACCUCUGAUCACCUCACCAUGGACCCUCACCUCCAAAUGGAGCUUAAUAUUAGGAGAUGGAGGGAGGAAGAGAUGAGAGGUUUGUCAGACUAUGACUCGGUGUGCAUGAAUGGACAGACCGCUGAUAUAGUCAUCUGCUUCCAAUGUAGAGAAGAGCAGAGGGAGCCAUCCAUCGCUGGGCACGUGGACUCAACCUUGAAAAGCGUAGAGGGAGAUUGAACUGUGUGGUCUUCACUGCACUUCUCCCUUAACAAGCUCAAACUGGACUCGAGGGGGAGACGUAAACCAUCAAGUCUGGAUCUGGCACAGAGCAAAGAGUGAUAUCAAAGAGCAAGGACACCACAAAGUGGCCUGAACACAGAGAUCAAUUAGCUUCUUUUAAGUGAGAUCAAAGCGUCGUGCCCCUAUGCCGAGGCAUGAAGGCCAAUUAAAUCUGACCAGAAGGAUGCUGGUCCUCAUGGACAACUCACCACUGGACACAUGCUAUGGAUUUAACAGCUGUAACCCAUCUUCCAUGCUGACCUUUGAUGAGGGAGACCCCAGCAAUAAAUCCUGUGCAGAAUCCACUCACACCUUCAUGUUUCAGCCCGCUAACUACAUUUGACCAUUCAGGGGGUUCAAAACUGCAGGCUCUAAUAGCCGAGCAGAUGGACCAGUAAAUGAUGGCCAGGACAUGGCUACAAAUCUGAAGAGUUUAAACCAAAG